UACAGAGGUCUCAAGCGUUGUUCGGAUUCAUUGGGCGUAAAGGGUGUGUAGGUGGCGCGCUAAGUCGGGGUGUGAAAUUUCGGAGCUUAACUCCGAAACUGCAUUUGAUACUGGCGUGCUUGAGGACUGGAGAGGAGACUGGAAUUCAUGGUGUAGCAGUGAAAUGCGUAGAGAUCAUGAGGAAGACCAGUGGCGAAGGCGGGUCUCUGGACAGUUCCUGACACUGAGACACGAAGGCCAGGGGAGCAAACGGG
rnacentral:rRNA from 1 species